CAACAAUCAUCAACGAAUGCAAUGCUACUAGAUGUGUCGUCCUACGGCAUUUUGGGAACCAAUAACAACGCGCAGAUGACACCGAUUGGAAUCGGACCACAAGAAUCUCCAAUCCCCAGCCACCAGCGUUGCUUAUUUAGUCCCGCUCCGCUCGGUACAUUUAGAAUCGCUGGUACCCAUCAGAACACCAAUGGGAGGUUAGCUGAAACCAAAAAUAUGGAGGAUAGUCAUACAGACACAUAUCUCGACACAUAUCUCGACCCGUCAGUUCUUAUAACCCAGGGCAAUAAUGGUGGUGUACAGAACUGGUUGGAUGACGGCCC
rnacentral:sRNA from 1 species